rnacentral:lncRNA from 1 species
AUCCAAAACCCAAAAGUACAUAUACACAAUCCUGCCUCUCCAUAAACCUCUAAGAGGAUCAAAAAGAAUAAGUCAUGCGGAGAGAAAACUAAGUACAUAUAUAUACAUCAUAGCAUAACAAAAUAUCCCAGUAACCACUCCGCUUCAAGAGUCCAGACGCCUAACGAGAUGCCUCUCGACCUGCAUCUAAAAAAUAACAACAUAGUAUGGAAUGAGAACCGGAGGUUCUCAGUAUGGUAAAGGUGCCACACACAUAAUAUAUAAGGUCCUGGGAAUACCAGAGGCAAUCCUAGAACACCGACACUCAGAUUAUAGAGCUUAAAGUAUUAAACAGAAGCCAUAAAGGGUGGUUCUCUAAAAAUAUUUAAUCCUAACUUAACUUAACCUUAAAUCUAAAUCCCAUACUGCCAUUCCUCCAUACCUCCAACUCCAUCAUGCAUUUUCAUAGACAACUAAACAGACAAAGGCAAACACAAGAAGGUUACAAGUACUGCAGAUAACAAAUAUACAUUUAGCAUGGCAAAUACAGAUAGGCACACCCAAUUAGAGCACAAGCAAGUAAUUCAAGUAAUAUGCAUAUGAUGCAUGCCUGUCCUAUGGCUGAUGAGGCUCAUCUGUCGGUUAUCCAGCCAACCCGACAAGUCUGAAUUGUACUUAGACUGUCCCCCGACGUGCAUCUCCAAGAGUCUAUGCAUAGUUUUUUCUCAAAUAAUCAAUAAUACUCAAUGGGGGUAACAUUCUCGGGAAUUUAUAUAGUGCCCGGUCACACACUUACGUCGUAGGGUCAACAGAGUAUCGAGUUUUCAAUCUGGUACACGUGGUGGCAAGCCACGGCACUUAAUCCAGGGAAUCUCGUAUCUCAGAUUAUUCAAAUUCAUAAGCCAUACUUAGCCGAUUUCCACGUAACGACCAAAGCUAUUUAUUCAAAACCAAGACAACCCCUCAAAACUCAACUAAUCCGCUUCCUCCAAGUUCCAGUAUUCACAAUUUCAAGCUCCAAUUAUUUAUUUUCAACCUAAUACACAUUCCUAAUACAUAUAUACCCAAUUUAAUACUCAAAGCUCGAAUUUAAUGAAAAUAAAAUAGAAUUAUUGUAUCCUCACCUUACCCAAGCUUCACAUAAGCAAGAGUGAACGUUUCUCUCAAGCUAAAUGGAUCCUAAAACAUCAGAAAUCAAAGAAAUUCAAUAUUCCCACUUAAAAUUUGAAAAUUGGGGGAAAAGAGGGCUGAGAGUGAUUAAACAAGUUACCAGUGAAAUUGUUCCAGUAGAAAUGUAGAGCUCGACGUGGUGGACACGUGGCCGCAAACGGUGCGGCGAUUGGAGCUCGGACGGAGAAGUUACGGGGAUCGGAAAUUAACGUGAGGGUUACGGGAAUGUUUCUCGUUUCUCUUCUCCCUGGAAGCUGAAAGCUUCGUUGCUGCAGUAAUGAGGGAGAAGACAAAGCUGGGUUCAUUUAAUAGGGCUGGUCCGGUUGAACCGACAGCCCGGUUCGAGUCCGGUUCAACCGGUUUGGUACUUUCGAUCCAAACUUGGACCGUUUUCUUCAAAAUUAGUGUCAAAAUUUUCGUUUCGAUGAGCUCUACCCUAAUUUAAUAUAAUAUUCACAUUUCUAAUCCUCCUUAUUAAAAAUUAAUUUAUUGACUAAUUAUCUACUAAUUUAAUCGGGGUUUACAUUCUACCCACCUAACAAAGAAUUUUGCCCUCAAAAUUCAAAUCUAGUUACCUGAAAAGAGAUGUGGAUAGUCCUUUCGCAUAUCUGAUUCGAGCUCCCAGGUAUGUUCCUCGAUACCAGCUCGACUCCAAGCUACUUUUACCAAUGAUACUUCCCUUCCUCGUAAUCGUUUAACGCUGGUGUCAUCAAUUCUUACCGGAAUUACCGGAAGUGUUAGAUCUUCUCUUACUUGGAUUGGUUCUGGUUCCAGAACAUGACUUGCGUUAGGAGUAUACUUUCGAAGCUGUGAUACAUGAAAUACAUCGUGCAAAUUCGAAAGGUACGGUGGUAAGGCAAUUUUAUAAGCCACUGGUCCAAUUCUCUUCAGAAUCUCAAAUGGUCCAAUAUAACGGGGAUUCAGUUUCUUGGUCUUAAUAGCUCUUCCCACGCCAGUGGUUGGUGUAACUUUCAGAAAGACAUGCUCCCCUUCCUCAAAUUCCAAAGGCUUUCACCUCUGAUCAGCAUAACUUUUCUGGCGGCUCUGGGCUAUAAGCAUUCGACUACGAAUCUUCUUUAUCUGUUCAGUAGUUUCAGCUAUCAUCUCAGGCCCUAAUAAACUCCUUUCUCCAGUUUCAUACCAACACAAUGGAGACUGACAUUUCCUGCCAUACAGAGCCUCAUAUGGAGCCAUUCUGAUGCUCGCAUGAUAGCUAUUAUUAUAAGCAAACUCUACUAAUGGCAUAUACCGAUCCCAGCUCGCCGGCUGGUCUAAAACACAAGCCCUUAGCAUAUCCUCCAAGGUCUGAAUAGUUCUCUCUGAUUGACCAUUUGUCUGAGGGUGAUACGCAGUACUCAAGCUUAACUGAGUCCCAAAUGCACGCUGAAAAGCUCCCCAGAACCUUGAUGUGAAGCGAGGAUCCCUGUCAGAUAUAAUGGUAGAAGGCACGCCAUGCAACCUGACAAUCUCUUUGAUAUACAUUCGAGCUAAUUCCUCCAUUGUGCAACUUAUUCGGAUAGGAAGAAAGUGAGCUGAUUUUGUUAGUCGAUCCACAACCACCCAAAUAGCGUCACAACCAGAUCGGGUUCUAGGCAAACCUAUCACAAAAUCCAUUGCAAUACUCUCCCAUUUCCAUUGUGGAAUCUCCAAAGGCUGAAGGGUCCCUGAUGGUCUCUGAUGCUCAAUCUUAACCUUCUGACACGUUAAACAUUUAAAUACAUACAAUGCCACAUCAUUCUUCAUGCCUGGCCACCAGAACAUCGCUUUCAGAUCCUGAUACAUUUUAGUGCUCCCUGGGUGGAUUGAAAACCCGCUCUUAUGAGCUUCCUUUAAGAUUCUCUGUCGCAGGUCUCCAAUAUCUGGCACAAUAAUCCGGUUCUUAAACCUCCACAAACCAUCCUGUCCUUCUGACACUCUUCACUGUUUCCCCUGUUCGACUGCUGGUAAUACCUUACGUAACGCUUCACUGUCUCAUACCAAUACAGGUGCAGUAGUCAACCUGUGCUUCAAUGCUUGGAAACUCUCUUCACAUUCCGGAGUCCAGAUAAAAGGUUUAUCCUUCCUAGUCAACUUAGUUAAAGGUAAGGCGAGCUGUGAAAAUCCUUUAAUGAAUCUGCGAUAAUACCCCGCCAAACCUAAAAAACUCCUGAUCUCUGUCACUGAAGUUGGUCGCUCCCAAUUCAUCACUGCUUCCACCUUAGCAGGAUCCACAGCUAUCCCCUGCUUACUCACCACGUGGCCGAGAAACUUCACUUCACUCUUCCAAAACUCACAUUUAGAUAACUUAGCAUAUAACUUCCUAUCUCUCAGAAUUUGUAGCACAGUUCGCAAGUGAUCAGCAUGCUCCUCUUCAGUCUUAGAAUAAACAAGAAUGUCAUCAAUGAAGACAAUAACAAACUUGUCCAGAUACGGUCGAAAAAUCCUGUUCAUAUAAUCCAUAAAUACUGCCGGGGCAUUAGUUAACCCGAAAGACAUCACUGUAUACUCAUAAUGACCAUAACGGGUUCUGAAAGCAGUUUUCGGAAUAUCCUCGUCUCUAACCCUUAUCUGAUGAUAUCCGGAUCGCAGGUCAAUCUUAGAAAACACACCAGCACCCUGUAACUGAUCCAUUAGAUCAUCGAUUCUAGGCAACGGAUAUUUAUUCUUCACAGUGAUCUUAUUCAAUUGCCGAUAAUCGACACAUAGCCGCAUACUCCCAUCCUUCUUCUUUACCAGUAACACUGGUGCUCCCCACGGAGAAACACUUGGUCGGAUAAAAUGCUUACCCAACAGAUCUUCCAGCUGAGCCUUCAGUUCAGCCAUUUCUAAAGGCGACAUCCUAUAAGGAGUAAUUGAAAUUGGACCGGAUCCAGGUACUAACUCAAUUGUAAAUUCAACCUCUCGGUUAGGUGGGAAUUCAUUAAUAUCAUCCGGAAACACAUCUGAAAAUUCACAUACAACCGGAAUCUGCUCUAAACUCUGAUCAUCACCUGAUACUCUCGCAGUUAAUAACAUAAUACCCUGACAUUCGGUUCCAGAACAGUUUACUAUCAUAGAAUUCAAAUAGUAACUAUUCACCACAACCGGUGCUUCUGACCCUUCCGGCAUAAACUGUACUGACUUUUCAGAACAAUCAAGUAAAACAUGAUUCUUGAAUAACCAAUCCAAUCCCAAAAUGAGAUCAAGACCAGUCAUAGGCAAACAAAUCAAAUCAUGCACAAAUUCACGCUGUUGUACUCGAAAGGGAACUUGUGGACAUUCUAUCCUAGUCACCAUAGCUUCAUGAGUAGCAUUAUAUACUUUCAAAUCAUAACCUAGAACCACCAUUCUCAAUCCUAAUUCAUGGGCCUUUUCAAAUGCAAUAAAUGAAUGAGACGCUCCUGAAUCAAAUAAAGCAUUUAAGAUUUUACCAGCCAUUUCACAAUUACCUCUAAUCAGUGUCUCAGAUCCCUCAGCACCAAUGGUAGAAGUGGUGUAUACUCUCCCCGGCUGCUGCACUCUACCAGUCUCAUACUUCUUCUUCUCCGGGCAAUUGGUAGCCAUAUGCCCGGGCUGUCCACAAGAAUAGCAUACUCCAAGUCUGAAUCUGCACGGAACUCCAGGGUGAUACCUUCCGCACUUCUGACAAUUCAGAUCUUGCUGUGGCUGCUUCCCAAACCUUUUUCCUUGACUAGCAUUGGUAUUCGGCCUUCUGUAAUUACCUUGACCCUGAGUCUGCUGCGAAACAAAACCUCCACGUUUGAAAUUCCUACCUCUCGGAGCAAAGUUCCUCCCUGAAGGCCUCAGAAAAGGCACCCUCAAACUCCCUUUCUCUGCUGCCGCCUUCCUCACACAAUCCUCAGCCACCCUACUCUUAUUCACCAAUUCAGAAAAUACCCUGAUCUCCAUUGGGGCAACGAAGCUCAGAAUAUCGCUCCGAAGACCUCCCUCAUAUUUAAUACAUUUCCAUUCAGCAAAAUCUUCAGGCGCACCUUGACAGAUACGAGAAAAGCGACAUAACUCCUCAAAUUUACUGGUAUACUCAGCAACAGUCAUCUGUCCCUGCUUUAACUGCAUUAAUUCAAGUUCCUUGGUAUUUCUGGCUGAAUUAGGAAAAUAUUUCUUAUAGAACUCUGUCUGGAAAACCUCCCAAGGAAUCGCAGCACCAUUAGGAUGCAGGAUACGUCGUGUUCCCUGCCACCAAUAUUGAGCUUCACCUUGCAGCUGAUAAGUUCCAAAUUCAACCCAUUGCUCUUCAGGAACCUGUUGGGCCUGCAACGCCCUUUCCAUAGCCUGAAUCCAGUUAUCUGCAUCAGUGGGAUUUGAGGUUCCCCUAAAAGUCGGAGGGCGAACUUUCAGAAAUGUGGCAAGUGUCAUAGGACCAUCCUCAUCAUUAUUAUUCCCAUAAUUACCCUGAUUUAUCUGAUUACCCAAUGCCUCGGCUGUUGCCUGCAUAGCUGCAGCCAUAUUUCCCAGGGCAGCCAUAAAGUCUACUGGAUCAGUCCCUAUGGGAGCAGGAGUAACGGUGCCUGUCCUACCUCUACCUCGCCUGCGACCGCGUCCGCGAGUCGACAUCUGGUCCCUAUAUACACCAAACAAGUGAUAUUAAGUUGAUCAGUCUCAAUAUCGCAGGUCUAAUGCUUUAAGUUCCAAAUGCAUGCUCACAAACGUUUAUGCCACAUAUAUCAAUCAGAUAUCCUAAUAGCACAUAAACACAUAUACAGAGAAUACACAAAAGCACAAUCAGUCCGUCUUUCAGGCUCUAUAGCAACGAACUGCUCUGAUACCAUAAUGUAACACCCUACCACACUAAGCUUUACGCUUAAGUCGUAAAACGAAUGUGGUGUGGUAUUACGACCUCUAAAAUAAAAUGAGUACAUAUAAUAGCAGAAGAAUUAUAAUAUGCUAGGAGCCUUGAAGAAAAGGGGAAAAUAAAAAUCGCACAAUAAAGGCGCAACGCUCAAGGAACGAGUUAACUUACGUGCUAAGAAAACCAUAACUAUCAAACAUAAGCUAACAGAAGUGGGAAUAGAGUGCCAAAGAUACAAAAUAUCAAGCUCCUAACUCAGCCUGCGAAGUCAAGACUGGCCGGAGAAUAUUUACACAUAUAUAUACAUACAUAUCCAAUACCCAAAAGUACAUAUACACAAUCCUGCCUCUCCAUAAACCUCUAAGAGGAUCAAAAAGAAUAAGUCAUGCGGAGAGAAAACUAAGUACAUAUAUAUACAUCACAGCAUAACAAAAUAUCCCAGUAACUACUCCGCUUCAAGAGUCCAGACGCCUAACGAGAUGCCUCUCGACCUGCAUCUGAAAAAUAACAACAUAGUAUGGAAUGAGAACCGGAGGUUCUCAGUAUGGUAAAGGUGCCACACACAUAAUAUAUAAGGUCCUGGGAAUACCAGAGGCAAUCCUAGAACACCGACACUCAGAUUAUAGAGCUUAAAGUAUUAAAUAAUCAUUUUCCAUAUCAAAACCAAUGUAGCAACCAUCAUCAUUACAUAUAACCAACCUCAACAUAGAUAUCAAGAAUACUAAGCUUUAUACAUUUCCACGCAUUACAGCUUAUCUUAUGGUUAUAUAGCCUAUGUUUUCAUAUAACAUUAUAUAUUAAAUGCAAGAAACCUAAACCAUACCUUAGCCGAUUUCCACGUAACGACCAAAGCUAUUUAUUCAAAACCAAGACAACCCCUCAAAACUCAACUAAUCCGCUUCCUCCAAGUUCCAGUAUUCACAAUUUCAAGCUCCAAUUAUUUAUUUUCAAC